rnacentral:rRNA from 1 species
CAGUAGCCGCGGUAAUACGUAGGUGGCAAGCGUUGUCCGGAAUUAUUGGGCGUAAGGGGCUCGCAGGCGGUUUCUUAAGUCUGAUGUGAAAGCCCCCGGCUCAACCGGGGAGGGUCAUUGGAAACUGGGAAACUUGAGUGCAGAAGAGGAGAGUGGAAUUCCACGUGUAGCGGUGAAAUGCGUAGAGAUGUGGAGGAACACCAGUGGCGAAGGCGACUCUCUGGUCUGUAACUGACGCUGAGGAGCGAAAGCGUGGGGAGCGAACAGGAUUAGAUACCCCAGUAGUUCCUGUCUCUUAUAC